rnacentral:misc_RNA from 1 species
UGUGGGAGCGGGCUUGCUCGCGAAAGCGGUGUGUCAGCUUCAGUGUUGUUGACUGAUACACCGCUUUCGCGAGCAAGCCCGCUCCCACG